ensembl:lncRNA
GGGGUACUGGUACAGAGUCAAUAUGGAGGCUAUAUACAGAGGGUACUGGUACAGAGUCAAUGUGGAGGCUAUAUACAGUGGGUACCGGUACAGAGUCAAUGUGGAGGCUAUAUACAGGGGGUACCGGUACAGAGUCAAUGUGGAGGCUAUAUACAGGGGGUACCAGUACAGAGUCAAUGUGGAGGCUAUAUACAGGGGGUACCAGUACAGAGUCAAUGUAGAGGCUAUAUACAGGGGUACCGGUACAGAGUCAAUGUGGAGUCUAUAUACAAGGGGUACCAGUACAGAGUCAAUGUGGAGGCAAUAUACAGGGGGUACCGGUACAGAGUCAAUGUGGAGGCUAUAUACAGGGGUACCAGUACAGAGUCAAUGUGGAGGCUAUAUACAGGGG